UGAAUCACAAAUGUUCAAGACAUAUCGAACCAAUGAGAUUCCUCCUCAGUGAGCCUUCUCAUAUGUGGCAGAUGUCUUUAAUAAUCUCCACCCCCUCCGCCUAAUGUGAGGGUGGAACCACCAUGUUGACGACGACUAUGCCAUAUCCCCCUCUUCUGAAGUACCAAAGCAAACUCUACCAAAACUGAUAAACUUUAUUAAAAUUGAUAUAGGGUGAAAAAUACACAACUUCGGACCUUGUGGAUAGAUCCGGAAGGGGGACUAAAUUAAAAAAAUUCUGAAAGUCCAGGAACCAAACCAAAAGUAUCAAAACUUCAGGGGACGAAUCUGCAAUUUUCACCAACUUAUGGGACCAAACUAUAUUUUUUCAAAAAUUGAGUGACUGAACUAUAAAGUUUUCAAACUUUAGGGAUUGAUAUGUAAUUUUUCCAAACUGAGGAAUAUUCUUAGAAUAUUUUACUUAUUGACUAGACCGUUGAUCGAAUGCUGACUCAACACUGACUAUUUGCUGAUAAAGCGCUGAUGUGGCACUGAUGGGCUAUUGACUUAGUGUUAGUUGGACACUGACUGGCGCUGACAAAGCGAUGCAUGUCGCUUACGUGGCGAUGGUUGGAAGCUAAUUUGAGUGUUGACGAGGCACAAACAUAUCGCUAAUGAGGUGAUGAUAUCAUGCUUACGUAACCAGAUUGCGCAUGGAAUGAAGAUAUGGCAUGGAAUCAGGGCGUGUCAGCACGUGGACGCGUGUCAGAGAGUGAAGUCACUUGUCAUCUUCCUCGUGUUGGCCUGUGCAGCGCGUGGAGAGACUGGUCUUCACGCGUGGAAAGGUAGGCGGUGGGUGUGCGCGUAGAUUCGAUUCUCUGAAACUCAAAAGACGCAUGAUGGCGCAUGCAACGUGGUUUUAAGGCUCGAUUUAAAUUAGGAGAUUUGUAUACGCGAUACGAACACGGUGGUAUUCUCAAAAAAGGUUUUAAAACACAAAUAUAGAAAAUUAAAACUGAACCUAGAGCUCUGAUACCAAUUGUUGUGCUCGAAAUCGAUUCGCAUCAAUCACACACAAGCUCAGAAACACAAACACACAAACACAAUGAUUACGAGUUUUAGCAAAAUUACAAUUUCUCCAAGUGGUGUGGUCAGUAAAUUCAACGAUUUGAAAAUAUUUACAGAUUUAUGAGAAUAUUGUGGUUGUUUGUUAACCAUAAUUGUUCAUUUUUCUCGUUUAAUUUUUAUUUUUAUGUUUAAUUUGAAAAACACAAACCUUUUUGUGUUGUAAAAAAUAAUGAAAAUAAAACUAAACAAAACUUCACUAUUUUUGAAAAUAGUGAAAACAAGAAAAAAGGGUUUUGUGUUUGUUCUACAAAAUUUUUCAUUCAAAAUUUUUUAUCCAAAUUUUUUCAACCACCGCCUCCACCACCCACCGCCCAACCUCACCACCACCUCCAACCAUCAUCACCGCCGCCACACCAACCACCGCCACCUCCAACCACCACCGCCACCACCAACCACCACUCCAACCACCGCGCCGCCCAACUCCACUUCAACCACCAUCGCCACCACCACCACUACCUCCACCUCCACCUCAACCCACCACUACCGCCCACCUCCCUCCACCACCGCCCCGCCACCACCACCAACCUCCAACACCAUCACCGCCGCCACCACCACCACCACCUCCACCGCACACUUCCACCUACCCAACCACCAACGCCGCCGCCACCUCCAACACAACCACCUCCACCGCACCAUCCAAACCAAACUCAACCACUACACCCCACACUGCCGCACCAUCUCCCACCUCCACCUCCACCUCCACCUCCACCUCCUCCACCACCUCCACCGCCACCACCUCCCCACCAACGCCACCUCACCACCUCCAACCACUACCGCCCCUUGCAGCACCUCCAACCACCACCUCCACACCAACCACACCUCUAACCACCGCCACCACCUCCAACCUCCACCUUGCCAACCACCGCCACCACCACCACCUCCAACCACCUCACCGCCGCCACCACCCACCAACCACCUCCACCGACACUUCCAACUCAACCGCCACAGCCGCCGCCACAGUGCUCCAACCACACACCUCCCACCGACACCCCAACCACCUCCACCACCUCCACCCCACCAUUGCCGCCACCAUCUCCACCCCACCUCCACCUCCACCGACACCUCCUCCACCACCUCCACCGCCACCACCUCCUCCACCACGCCACCUCCACCACCUCCAACCACUAACGCUGCCAGCACCUCCAACCACCACCUCCACCACAAACACCACCUCUAACACCGCACCACCUCAACCGGCCACAUCCAAACCCACGCCCACCACACACCUCCACCUCCACAUCCACCUCCAAACCACACGCUGCCACCACCUCCAACCGCCACCUCAUCCACUUACCUCAACCUCCACACCUCCAACACUACCGCCGCCACCACCUCCACCUCUCAACACCGCCACCACCACCACCGCCACCGGCCACCUCCAAACACCAACUGUCGCCACCACCUUCACCACCAACACCACCGACUGCCACCACCUCUACCUCCACCUCCACCUCCUCCACACGCCACCUCCACCACCGCCACCACUCCUCCCCCGCGGACCAUCGGCCACCACCUCCAACCACUACCGUGCGCCACCUCCACCACCACGCCACCGCCACCACCAACCACCAUCGCCACGACACCACCACCGCCACACCACCACCUCCAACCACCAUCAAACGCCGCCACGUCCACCUCUAACCACAACCGGCCGACGCCACCUCCAAAACCACCAUCGCCACCUCCUCUACCACCGCGAACCACUACCGCCAUCCAUCUCUUUUGAAAAUAGUUUUCAAAAAGUGAAAACAAAAUAUUUUUUAUUUUUAAAUAGUUUAAAAAUAGGUGGACACAAACGUAUUUUUAGUUUCUAUUUUACAAAAAAUUAAAUAAAACAAAACAAAAAUUAAACAAAAACAAAAAACAGAAAAAUGAAAAAGUUACCAAACAUCCCCAUUGUAUCUCACUCUCUCAUUAGUGGUCUGGGGAUGACAAAGCAGCCACCAUCUCCCUCACACUAUCUCUGCCUCACGCUAUAUGAGAUUCUCUCCCCCUUUUUUUUCUUGUUAUGUUGUUUUCACUAGAAGUCCUUUUAAAAGCUGAAAGUUUCAAACCAAAUCCAACUAGGAGUUUGAAUCCAAAUACAAUAGGAAGUUUGAAGCCAAAUCCAACAUCAUCAACUGUUAUUACUAAGGAUGUAAACGGCUCGAUAAUGGUUCUAUUUGGUUGUUUUUUUAGAAAAAAAAAUUCACAUAACCGAAUUAAUGAAUUUUAUAUUUAAUUGAAAUGAAACUGACCAAUAAAUCUAUAAAAUUAAACCAUAUAUUUUUUAUUUUUCUACUGGUUCAAUUUAUUUUAAAAUCGGUUUGGACUAACAAAAAUGAAGAGUUUAUGCAGUUAACAAGUACGUAACACAUUGAUGUAAAAAAAUUAAAAUGGUUACAUUGCUUUAAAAUUACUCACUUGGGAUUAUUCUGCACCAAGUCAAUCGACCAUUAAAAAAAACACUCCAAAACACACUUGUAGGUUUUGUAACAUCUUAAUCCAACUAAAAUUUUUAUCUAUGAUUAUAAACAACUCUUUUACGCUCAAACACUAUAAGGUGACAAUAGAUUUAUAAAAGAUGUUAUAUAUUGACAUAAUUGAUUAUUGUUAUGUAUUUGUGAUAUUGUUCAGUUUCAGUUUAUUUCGGUAUUUUGGUUUCUAAACCCGAGACUGAACCGAAAAAUGGAUUUUCUAUAAUUUUAGGACUGGACAUGACAAAUUCAAUAAAAAAAAAUUGGCCAAAAAUGGUCGGUUUGAUCCAAUUUGAUCGAUUUAUUCUGUUCAAUCAAUAUUUUUUUAUAUCGCUAUCUAUUACUAACGGAAAGGGUUUUUCUAUAAUACAACUUCAAACCUCAUCAGAGGGGAAUGUAAUUUCUCAAACGAUUACAAUUGGGUAACGAAACUCAUCAAUUGCAAUGAGCGUAUGUUGGAGCAAAAAUCACAAAAUUGCAGAAUACUUCAAAGGCACGUCACGAAUGUCGCUUUCCUUAAAGCGUUAUUCGCCCCCACCAAUUCUGUAACACUGGUAUGCACUGGGUUCACAGUGAAUCGCUUUUAGGACACAAUAAAACCUCAGAAUUUAAUCCGAUGUCUGACUGCGUUGGCACAAAGGAAAUCAGACCAAAAUACUUUCAGAUUUUCCUAGGUAGCCAAAAAUCUGAAAUUCUGUUUCUGUAGAAAACAGAAUUCAAGAACAAGUUUGAAAACUGUAAUUUAACAAAGGAAAACAAAGAGAAGUUCGAAAAUUAAGUGAGUUUAAUGUUGGGAAAAUCUGUCAAUUUAUAACACUGAAUAGGUCUUUUCAUGGAAAAGGUUGUAUUGGAAGAAGAUGACUGAGAUCAAAAUCUACAGUCACAUUUAACUGUUAUUUAUAACAAUAACAUUAGGUUUAAACCAUGUCCAUCGAUCACACCCUUUUAGUAUUCAACGGUUGUAGUUUUGUAAGACGCACAUCUUCCAAGAUCCACAUCAAGCUGUUUUCACAUUUAUUAAUUAGAGUGAUUUCACCAUACGAUCUUGUAAUCUUAAUAUUAAUGGUGAUCGUUUGUGAUCAUCAUGAAUAAAAAAUCAACGGUCUGUGAUCACACGACACGGCGUGAACGUGCAAUGUGCGCCACUAAUAGCGCCACAAAAACGCCACGCGAGCGCCCAAUGGUGUGAGACGGUGCACCGUCCUACAUGUGCAAAACACUUACACCAAAGCAUAGUGGCCUAGCACGUCAAGACAAACAAGUCAUAAUGACUAAGCACUUAAAAACCUUUUUACUUCAUUCUCUUUUUUAAUAUGGGACUCCAAAACUUCAAAACAUAUUACAUAUAUACAUAUCUUUGAAAAUAUUUCAACAGCGUAGAAUAACAAAUCAAAUAUCAAGAAUUCUCAACAUAUUUUAAUUUGAUUAUUUUUCUUU
rnacentral:lncRNA from 1 species